UACGUAGGUGGCAAGCGUUGUCCGGAUUUAUUGGGCGUAAAGCGAGCGCAGGCGGUUCCUUAAGUCUGAUGUGAAAGACCCCGGCUCAACCGGGUAGGGUCAGUGGAAACUGGGGAGCUUGAGUGCAGAAGAGGAGAGUGGAAUUCCAUGUGUAGCGGUGAAAUGCGUAGAGAUAUGGAGGAACACCAGUGGCGAAGGCGACUCUCUGGUCUGUAACUGACGCUGAGGCUCGAAAGCGUGGGUAGCAAACAGG
rnacentral:rRNA from 1 species